GCUGUUCAUGCUGAUGUUGCAAGAAGAAAAAAGAGAUAGUGGGCAGAGGUGGAACCUAAAUUUGAGAAGGGAGGUCUUAUGGAUGUCGAUCAGGAGGAUUUGAUGAUUUUACUACCUCCUCUGUUCUCCUUAAAAGAUAUGCCUAUGAAUAUUGUAUUAAAAUGUUGUGCAAGUUUGAGCUCGAAAAUAAAACAGGACAAACUUGACCGGCAAAAAGUGUAUGCCUGUAAAUAUUGUAUUAAAAUGUUGUGCGAGUUUGAGCUCGAAAAAAAAACAGGACGAACUUGACCGGCAAAAUUGGGAGAUGGAGAUGGAGAUGGAGCGGAGUCUUGGCAUUGAUUU
rnacentral:lncRNA from 1 species